rnacentral:rRNA from 1 species
UUUUGUUUAGGGGGACUUCGGAGGGAUCAUUACCGAGUUUACAACUCCCAAACCCAAUGUGAACGUUACCAAACUGUUGCCUCGGCGGGAUCUCUGCCCCGGGUGCGUCGCAGCCCCGGACCAAGGCGCCCGCCGGAGGACCAACCAAAACUCUUAUUGUAUACCCCCUCGCGGGUUUUUUUAUAAUCUGAGCCUUCUCGGCGCCUCUCGUAGGCGUUUCGAAAAUGAAUCAAAACUUUCAACAACGGAUCUCUUGGUUCUGGCAUCGAUGAAGAACGCAGCGAAAUGCGAUAAGUAAUGUGAAUUGCAGAAUUCAGUGAAUCAUCGAAUCUUUGAACGCACAUUGCGCCCGCCAGUAUUCUGGCGGGCAUGCCUGUCCGAGCGUCAUUUCAACCCUCGAACCCCUCCGGGGGGUCGGCGUUGGGGAUCGGCCCUGCCUUGGCGGUGGCCGUCUCCGAAAUACAGUGGCGGUCUCGCCGCAGCCUCUCCUGCGCAGUAGUUUGCACACUCGCAUCGGGAGCGCGGCGCGUCCACAGCCGUUAAACACCCAACUUCUGAAAUGUUGACCUCGGAUCAGGUAGGAAUACCCGCUGAACUUAAGCAUAUCAUAAACGGGGAAGGAA